AGCCACGAGUUCAUUUCCUUAGCCGAAAGGUUUGGGUAAUCUUGUUAAACUCUGUCGUGCUGGGGAUAGAGCAUUGCAAUUAUUGCUCUUCAACGAGGAAUGCCUAGUAAGCGCAUGUCAUCAGCAUGCGUUGAUUACGUCCCUGCCCUUUGUACACACCGCCCGUCGCUACUACCGAUUGAAUGGCUCGGUGAGGCCUUCGGACUGGCCCAGGGAGGUCGGCAACGACCACCCAGGGCCGGAAAGUUGGUCAAACCCGGUCAUUUAGAGGAAGUAAAAGUCGUAACAAGGUCUCCGUAGGUGAACCUGCGGAGGGAUCAUU
rnacentral:rRNA from 1 species